rnacentral:rRNA from 1 species
GUUAGUAAGAGCCCUGAGAGAUGAUCAGGUAGAUAGGUUGGAAGUGGAAGUGUGGCGACACAUGUAGCGGACCAAUACUAAUCGCUCGAGGACUUAUCCAAG